rnacentral:rRNA from 1 species
AGAGUUUGAUCCUGGCUCAGGACGAACGCUGGCGGCGUGCUUAACACAUGCAAGUCGAACGAUGAUGCCCAGCUUGCUGGGUGGAUUAGUGGCGAACGGGUGAGUAACACGUGAGUAACCUGCCCCUGACUCUGGGAUAAGCGUUGGAAACGACGUCUAAUACUGGAUAUGAUCACCGGCCGCAUGGUCUGGUGGUGGAAAGAUUUUUUGGUUGGGGAUGGACUCGCGGCCUAUCAGCUUGUUGGUGAGGUAAUGGCUCACCAAGGCGACGACGGGUAGCCGGCCUGAGAGGGUGACCGGCCACACUGGGACUGAGACACGGCCCAGACUCCUACGGGAGGCAGCAGUGGGGAAUAUUGCACAAUGGGCGAAAGCCUGAUGCAGCAACGCCGCGUGAGGGAUGACGGCCUUCGGGUUGUAAACCUCUUUUAGUAGGGAAGAAGCGAAAGUGACGGUACCUGCAGAAAAAGCACCGGCUAACUACGUGCCAGCAGCCGCGGUAAUACGUAGGGUGCAAGCGUUGUCCGGAAUUAUUGGGCGUAAAGAGCUCGUAGGCGGUUUGUCGCGUCUGCUGUGAAAUCCCGAGGCUCAACCUCGGGCUUGCAGUGGGUACGGGCAGACUAGAGUGCGGUAGGGGAGAUUGGAAUUCCUGGUGUAGCGGUGGAAUGCGCAGAUAUCAGGAGGAACACCGAUGGCGAAGGCAGAUCUCUGGGCCGUAACUGACGCUGAGGAGCGAAAGCAUGGGGAGCGAACAGGAUUAGAUACCCUGGUAGUCCAUGCCGUAAACGUUGGGCGCUAGAUGUAGGGACCUUUCCACGGUUUCUGUGUCGUAGCUAACGCAUUAAGCGCCCCGCCUGGGGAGUACGGCCGCAAGGCUAAAACUCAAAGGAAUUGACGGGGGCCCGCACAAGCGGCGGAGCAUGCGGAUUAAUUCGAUGCAACGCGAAGAACCUUACCAAGGCUUGACAUACACCGGAAACGGCCAGAGAUGGUCGCCCCCUUGUGGUCGGUGUACAGGUGGUGCAUGGUUGUCGUCAGCUCGUGUCGUGAGAUGUUGGGUUAAGUCCCGCAACGAGCGCAACCCUCGUUCUAUGUUGCCAGCGGGUUAUGCCGGGGACUCAUAGGAGACUGCCGGGGUCAACUCGGAGGAAGGUGGGGAUGACGUCAAAUCAUCAUGCCCCUUAUGUCUUGGGCUUCACGCAUGCUACAAUGGCCGGUACAAAGGGCUGCGAUACCGUAAGGUGGAGCGAAUCCCAAAAAGCCGGUCUCAGUUCGGAUUGAGGUCUGCAACUCGACCUCAUGAAGUCGGAGUCGCUAGUAAUCGCAGAUCAGCAACGCUGCGGUGAAUACGUUCCCGGGCCUUGUACACACCGCCCGUCAAGUCAUGAAAGUCGGUAACACCCGAAGCCGGUGGCCUAACCCUUGUGGAAGGAGCCGUCGAAGGUGGGAUCGGUGAUUAGGACUAAGUCGUAACAAGGUAACC